rnacentral:rRNA from 1 species
CAUAGGUUAAUGAGGCGAACCGGGGGAACUGAAACAUCUAAGUACCCCGAGGAAAAGAAAUCAACCGAGAUUCCCCCAGUAGCGGCGAGCGAACGGGGAGCAGCCCAGAGCCUGAAUCAGUGUGUGUGUUAGUGGAAGCGUCUGGAAAGGCGCGCGAUACAGGGUGACAGCCCCGUACACAAAAAUGCACAUGCUGUGAGCUCGAUGAGUAGGGCGGGACACGUGGUAUCCUGUCUGAAUAUGGGGGGACCAUCCUCCAAGGCUAAAUACUCCUGACUGACCGAUAGUGAACCAGUACCGUGAGGGAAAGGCGAAAAGAACCCCGGCGAGGGGAGUGAAAAAGAACCUGAAACCGUGUACGUACAAGCAGUGGGAGCACGCUUAGGCGUGUGACUGCGUACCUUUUGUAUAAUGGGUCAGCGACUUAUAUUCUGUAGCAAGGUUAACCGAAUAGGGGAGCCGAAGGGAAACCGAGUCUUAACUGGGCGUUAAGUUGCAGGGUAUAGACCCGAAACCCGGUGAUCUAGCCAUGGGCAGGUUGAAGGUUGGGUAACACUAACUGGAGGACCGAACCGACUAAUGUUGAAAAAUUAGCGGAUGACUUGUGGCUGGGGGUGAAAGGCCAAUCAAACCGGGAGAUAGCUGGUUCUCCCCGAAAGCUAUUUAGGUAGCGCCUCGUGAAUUCAUCUCCGGGGGUAGAGCACUGUUUCGGCAAGGGGGUCAUCCCGACUUACCAACCCGAUGCAAACUGCGAAUACCGGAGAAUGUUAUCACGGGAGACACACGGCGGGUGCUAACGUCCGUCGUGAAGAGGGAAACAACCCAGACCGCCAGCUAAGGUCCCAAAGUCAUGGUUAAGUGGGAAACGAUGUGGGAAGGCCCAGACAGCCAGGAUGUUGGCUUAGAAGCAGCCAUCAUUUAAAGAAAGCGUAAUAGCUCACUGGUCGAGUCGGCCUGCGCGGAAGAUGUAACGGGGCUAAACCAUGCACCGAAGCUGCGGCAGCGACGCUUAUGCGUUGUUGGGUAGGGGAGCGUUCUGUAAGCCUGUGAAGGUGUACUGUGAGG